AGGUUACUGCUAUCGGUGUUCGCUUAAGCCAUGCGAGUCAUAUGUUCUUCGUGAACAUGGCGUACUGCUCAGUAACACGUGGAUAACCUGCCCUUGGGUCCGGCGUAACCCCGGGAAACUGGGGAUAAUUCCGGAUAACGCACAUAUGCUGGAAUGCUUUAUGCGUCAAAUGGAUUCGUCCGCCCAAGGAUGGGUCUGCGGCCUAUCAGGUAGUAGUGGGUGUAAUGUACCUACUAGCCUACGACGGGUACGGGUUGUGAGAGCAAGAGCCCGGAGAUGGAUUCUGAGACAUGAAUCCAGGCCCUACGGGGCGCAGCAGGCGCGAAAACUUUACAAUGCGGGAAACCGUGAUAAGGGGACACCGAGUGCCAGCAUCAUAUGCUGGCUGUCCGGGUGUGUAAAAUACACCUGUUAGCAAGGGCCGGGCAAGACCGGUGCCAGCCGCCGCGGUAACACCGGCGGCCCGAGUGGUGAUCGUGAUUAUUGGGUCUAAAGGGUCCGUAGCCGGUUUGGUCAGUCCUCCGGGAAAUCUGACGGCUUAACCGUUAGGCUUUCGGGGGAUACUGCCAGACUUGGAACCGGGAGAGGUAAGAGGUACUACAGGGGUAGGAGUGAAAUCUUGUAAUCCCUGUGGGACCACCUGUGGCGAAGGCGUCUUACCAGAACGGGUUCGACGGUGAGGGACGAAAGCUGGGGGCACGAACCGGAUUAGAUACCCGGGUAGUCCCAGCCGUAAACGAUGCUCGCUAGGUGUCAGGCAUGGCGCGACCGUGUCUGGUGCCGCAGGGAAGCCGUGAAGCGAGCCACCUGGGAAGUACGGCCGCAAGGCUGAAACUUAA
rnacentral:rRNA from 1 species